rnacentral:rRNA from 1 species
UACGUAGGGGGCUAGCGUUGUCCGGAAUCAUUGGGCGUAAAGCGCGUGUAGGCGGCCCGGUAAGUCCGCUGUGAAAGUCGGGGGUUCAACCCUCGAAUGCCGGUGGAUACUGUCGGGCUUGAGUACGGAAGAGGCGAGUGGAAUUCCUGGUGUAGCGGUGAAAUGCGCAGAUAUCAGGAGGAGCACCAAUUGCGAAGGCAGCUCGCUGGGACGUUACUGACGCUGAGACGCGAAAGCGUGGGGAGCAAACAGG